GGCGCACGGGUGCGUAACACGUGGGUAAUCUGCCCUCUGAUGGGGAAUAACCCGCCGAAAGGCGGGCUAAUUCCGCAUAAUAUUCCGAGAACUUCGGUUUUUGGACUGAAAGGCGUAAGUCGUCGGAGGAGGAGCCCGCGCCCGAUUAGCUAGUUGGUAGGGUAAUGGCCUACCAAGGCUUUGAUCGGUAGCUGGUCUGAGAGGAUGGCCAGCCACACUGGAACUGAGACACGGUCCAGACUCAUACGGGAGGCAGCAGUGGGGAAUCUUGCACAAUGGGCGGAAGCCUGAUGCAGCGACGCCGCGUGGGGGAUGAAGCUUCUCGGAGUGUAAACCCCUUUCGAUCCGGACGAAUACCUCGCAAGAGGGGUGACGGUACGGAUAUAAGAAGCCCCGGCUAACUACGUGCC
rnacentral:rRNA from 1 species